UUGAACCAAGAAUACCAUUUUGAAGAAAAUAUCUGAUAUCGCGACAAAUCUUGCUAAAUAAGUCGAUACCGUGUAAGAGAAUUGGUAAAGAUGAUCGAUAAUUUUCGACGAUCAUCAAUUGCAUUCGUUAUAAUUCAUCUUGCCCUUCGAAAUAUGAUAGAAGCAUAGAAUUUAGGCGAUAAAUUCGAAGACGAGUGCACGCGUCUCCAUGUUCUCACUAAUUUGUUUUAAUAUUUUGUAUUGAAUGAUGCUUGUACUUUUGUUUUUCAACAAAUACUCUGCGAGCAACGCAUUUGUUAGCAAAUAAUUUACAUGACACAUUUACUAUCUAUUAACUCCACGUACAUAUACAUAAGUUAGAGUAUAGACUCAGAUAUUCAUUUUAUUAACAGAAAUUGGAAUGCCUCCAAUGAUGGGCCACCCAAGUAUCAAAUAACUCCAGGAGCCCCACCUUUACGACCGGAAUAUGAACGCCCACCUCCUUAUUAUUUUCCGGGAAAUGGAAGUCGAAAUUAAAAACGAACUUCUGCAUUUGUACGAAAACCAUGCUUAGCGAAUUGGGAUUACCAACAGAACAAAGUGAUCAAAAAACUAAAUUGA